CUUGCGUCCCCGCGGGAACCUCCAGCAUCCUCCGUGCAGUGACAGGAGCAGCAGCAGACUCCCGCCUCUGCAACGAUCCCCGGCAGGAGGAUGAGGAUCUGCUGACAGUGAGGAGCCAAUGAUGCCUGGAUGUCAGACUCUGCAGAGAAGAUGGAGCUGGAGGAAGACCUGGUCUCUGGACCAGAUGAAGAAGAAAAGAUAACAGAGAAGAUAUCACUCAAGUCAGAAGACGUCACUCAGAGGAUCAGAAUCGUAGUGAGGAGCCAUCUGGGCGUCAAGUUCUGCUGAGUGAACAUUUAGCUGGAACAAGUCCC